AGAAAAUAUAGAAGAAGAAAAAAAUCACAUGAAACUACAUCACACAGAGAUGUUUAUUGAGAAUAUCAGUUUCUGCACGUGGGCAGUAGAUAUUGAAGGUUAUAUGGUUUACAGAAAACAUCUUUAAAAGAUAGACACUCAAGGACCAAGGAAAUAAAACACCAGAAGCCCAGAGCACAGAGUAUUUUCCUUCACCAAUUCGUAGCAUCGUGAUACUUCUCUAAUUCCAUCAAGUAUGAAGGAAUGACCACUUUGGCAGAUGGCCACAGAGGAUGUCAACAGUUUUUUG